rnacentral:lncRNA from 10 species
CGCGGGUGCCUGUGGUAGGGGAGCAAGCACUAAUUUCUACAUAAUUUGAAUCUUCAGCUUCAUGCUGUUUUUUUGGCUAAUGAUACUUUGUCACUAAAUCACUGUAGACUUUGCAAAGUGCCUCCUCCAUAAUCUUAUGUGAUCUUAUACCUGGAGGCACACAAGGUAGGUGCUAUUGUUCCUGUUUCAUAGGUGAGGAAACUAAGAUGCAGGGAGGCUGAGCAAAAUGCCCCAAAUUACAGUCAAUUACGGCAGAACAGGGACUCCCAUCUGCUUUCUGCUGCCUUUCCAAUGACCUACAUCUGCCUACCAGCACCUUGACUGUGGGCCCAGGGAGAGGAGUCUAACCGCCUUCCAGAGCUGGAGAGCAGAACUGCAGAGGAAUUGAAAAUAAGGAAUUCAGAGAAGGAAGAAGAGGAUUUAAGAGGCUGGCUGUGCAGAUUUGAUGGAGAAAUUCAGAGCAUAUUUUUGGAGCUGGAAAUGUUCUCAGAAGUCAUCUAUUCGAUCCUAUCGAUUCUAGCCCUUCCUUGUAAAGUGUGGCAAUCUCUGAGUCAGUCUGGACUGUGACCGAGGAAAUU